rnacentral:rRNA from 1 species
UAGGCGUAAAUGAUGCGAGUUAAGUGUGGGGGCGAUCUACGAGAUGGCCCUGUGCUGUAGGGUAGCCGUUAAACUCGCUGCCUGGGGAGUACGGUCGCAAGGCUGAAACUUAAAGGAAUUGGCGGGGGGAGCACCACAAGAGGUGGAGGCUGCGGUUCAAUUGGACUCAACGCCGGAAACUCAUCGGGAGCGACAGCAGUAUGAUUGCCAGGUUGAUGACCUUGCUUGACAAGCUGAGAGGUGGUGCAUGGCGUAGUCGUGU